rnacentral:sRNA from 1 species
UAUUGUCCUGCUUCUUUGUC